GCUGGGCAUGAUGGCUCACAUCUGUAAUCCUGGUGGCUCAGGAGGCUGAGGCAGGAGGAUCAUGAGUACAAAACUGCCUCAGCAAUGGUGGGGCAUUAAAAAACUCAAUGAGACCCUGCCUCUA
rnacentral:sRNA from 1 species